rnacentral:rRNA from 1 species
UACGUAGGGCGCAAGCGUUGUCCGGAAUUAUUGGGCGUAAAGAGCUCGUAGGUGGCUUGUCACGUCGGGUGUGAAAGCUUGGGGCUUAACUCCAGGUCUGCAUUCGAUACGGGCUGGCUAGAGGUAGGUAGGGGAGAACGGAAUUCCUGGUGUAGCGGUGAAAUGCGCAGAUAUCGGGAGGAACACCAGUGGCGAAGGCGACUACCUGGCCUGUUCUUGACGCUGAGGCGCGAAAGCUAGGGAGCAAACGGG